CAACAGUCGCUCGGUUUGAGCUCAAAUAAAUGCAGGGAUGCCUCGGCUGGGAGCAGUCCGCCGCCUCCCUCCGAGCGCAGGACGCUCCGACGCCCGCUUGCCCGCAGGCCACCGCAGUGUGCACACAUGGCUCAGCCUUCUGCAAACUUUCAGCCAAGGGAGAAAGCUCAGAGCUUGGCUGAUAUGCUGGACUCCCCAAAGGUAUUUUUCUAUGUCUUGAUAUAUGGGACUGUGGCUACAGCUCAGUGACAGAGUACUUGCAAGUCAUUCUCAAGACCUUGG
rnacentral:lncRNA from 1 species